rnacentral:rRNA from 1 species
UGAGGGGGGCUGCUCCUAGUACGAGAGGACCGGAGUGGACGCAUCACUGGUGUUCGGGUUGUCAUGCCAAUGGCACUGCCCGGUAGCUAAAUGCGGAAGAGAUAAGUGCUGAAAGCAUCUAAGCACGAAACUUGCCCCGAGAUGAGUUCUCCCUGACUCCUUGAGAGUCCUGAAGGAACGUUGAAGACGACGACGUUGAUAGGCCGGGUGUGUAAGCGCAGCGAUGCGUUGAGCUAACCGAUACUAAUGAACCGUGAGGCUUAACCUUACAACGCCGAAG